rnacentral:rRNA from 1 species
UCUACUAGUUGUUGGGUCUUAAUUGACUUAGUAACGCAGCUAACGCGUGAAGUAGACCGCCUGGGGAGUACGGUCGCAAGAUUAAAACUCAAAGGAAUUGACGGGGACCCGCACAAGCGGUGGAUGAUGUGGAUUAAUUCGAUGCCACGCGAAAAACCUUACCUACCCUUGACAUGUCAGGAACCUUGGAGAGAUCUGAGGGUGCCCGAAAGGGAACCUGAACACAGGUGCUGCAUGGCUGUCGUCAGCUCGUGUCAUGAGAUGUUGGGUUAAGUCCCGCAACGAGCGCAACCCUUGUCAUUAGUUGCUACGAAAGAGCACUCUAAUGAGACUGCCGGUGACAAACCGGAGGAAGGUGGGGAUGACGUCAAGUCCUCAUGGCCCUUAUGGGUAGGGCUUCACACGUCAUACAAUGGUACAUACAGAGGGCCGCCAACCCGCGAGGGGGAGCUAAUCCCAGAAAGUGUAUCGUAGUCCGGAUUGUAGUCUGCAACUCGACUGCAUGAAGUUGGUAAUCGCUAGUAA